UUUCACGUUAAAACGAGUACGUGCGGAGGUACGUUUGGUGAAUUUUAUUGUACCGUAGCACAAGUGGAUUGAAAUUCACGAUAGCGAAACUCGAAAUAAGUUCGACUUUGAAGAUGAGCUUGGAAUUUCCCUGUGGGCGAGCCGCAGGUCAGGGGCGCACGAAAUUUGUCAGGUUAAUGUAGAAAGUUGUAGUUUUCAGAACGACGCUUGAAAACUGAAAUAUUGUACGACAUCUAAAAUGCGUGCUUCCUUAAACUUAAAAUAUAUCUCCUAAGAUUUAAUCUAAC
rnacentral:misc_RNA from 1 species